UAAUGUCACCAUGGCAUGUUGAGGACAUAGUCAACUCCUCUUGUCAUGUUGCAGAGAAGUGAUGACCUAUCUGCUUUACAUGGGCCUUUGGAUCUCCAUCUUGUUGCUGUGAUGAGCAAGGUUGCCUUGCAGUUGGACAAAGACCUGGGCUGAGAGAGGGAGCAGACUGUCUCUACUAUUGUGGAUUGACAUCAUUGUGGCAUGUCAAGGCCAUAGUGAACUACACUGUCAUGUUGCAGAGAUGUGAUGACUAAUCUGCAUUUCAUGGACCUUUGGACCUCCUCCAUUUUUGCUGGGAUGAGCAUAAUUGUCCUGCAGGGACCAGGACCAAUGACAGCCUCACUA